AUUGAACGCUAGCGGCAUGCUUUACACAUGCAAGUCGAACGAGUGGCGGACGGGUGAGUAAUAUAUCGGAACGUGCCCAGUAGCGGGGGAUAACUACUCGAAAGAGUGGCUAAUACCGCAUCAUCUUGUAUCGGCCGAUAUGGGAUUAGCUAGUUGGGGGGGGAAAGGCUCACCAAGGAAACGAUCCGUAGCUGGUUUGAGAGGACGACCAGCCACACUGGGACUGAGACACGGCCCAGACUCCUACGGGAGGCAGCAGUGGGGAAUGUUGGACAAUGGGGGAAACCCUGAUGCAGCCAUGCCGCGUGUAUGAGAAGGCCUUCGGGUUGUAAAGUACUUUUGGCAGAGAAGCGGUAUCUGCAGAAUAAGCACCGGCUAACUACGUGCCAGCAGCCGCGGUAAUUC
rnacentral:rRNA from 1 species